GAAAAGACGUAGGUGGGACACAGGGGUGGGCAGUUUCUGGGUAGGUUUUAAUGAGAAGAUAAAGCGGUCGUUUCUCCGCGGCGAUUUUCGGUGGCGGGUGGGGCCGUAAAAAAGCGGUCUAAGUUAGACAAGAGGAUAGGGUGUUGACGUCGCUAGUCCCGGACUUCUUCUAACCCCCAGCGGCCGACCGGCGGGGCAGCCAAGUUCGAGGCUAGGUGUUGUAGUUGGUUGGGGCGCUCGUGAGGCGAGAUAAGAGGGGGACUAAACGUCGCUGGCCGCUGUCGCCUAACUUCCUCCGGCGGGGUGGUCGCCUCGAGUCUAGGUGGCGUAGUUGGGCGCGCACUCGGAAAGGGGUGGCUGAUGUCGUUGGCCCAGUGGUCCUAUGUUACUUCCCUAAACCCCCUCUUUUCGUGGCUCCACUCCAUCUGCUUUCUCUCUUCCACUCUAUGUCUCAACAUAACCUCUCCUUAAGUCUCGGUCAAAAUGUUCAGUAUGGGUGCGUGCCAUUGUCUAACGGGGAAAUUGACUUGAGUCCGUGGUGUGCCGGUGUCACGAACACCAAUUUUGGACUUUGGAAUUUGACUAAGAUGACGGACGAACACCAAUCGAUUUUGAACUUUGACUAAGAGGAUGGACGAACACCAAGAGGACGGACGAACACCAAGACGAUGGGGUAUUUAUCAGGGAUUGAUCACGACAGUUUUGACUUAUUUGUGACUCUAACGUGAACUAAAACUGUGGAAUGCCUCUACAUAUCGGGACACGGUCACAUGAAAAUAGAGGUGAUGAUUUAUUUUCCCUUGAUGUGAAUUAUAAACGGAACGGCGAGGAUUGACUAACGAUGGGUACUACAAUUCCCAGAUUUCGGCUGUUCGUAAAAGCAUGCGGGUCUUGAACUAUUUUCGUCUAUGUACCAUUUGAGUUCGACGAGGAUGAAAUGUUUGCAUGUUGUGGUAGGUAACUCGGAAUUAAAACUUUCUCAUAUCACUUGAAAAACCAAAAGCCUUGAUACGGUUGUCGCUGUCAUUAUCAUAAAAAACAACAAAAAUCAAGACUUGUAAAACCUGUACAUUUUACCGAAAGUGAAUUUGUCAAUCAAUAUAUGAGGGAGGCGGACUUUUUCGAACAGAGAGUUUACCUACAUAGAUCGUAGUUCAAUCACGAUCUAAGUAGGUAAACUACUUGUUCAAACCCUGUUCAAAAAAGCCUGUCUCCCUCAUGUUAUAAUCACACAGGACACAAACGCAGGAGUGAAUAGAUGAAAUAAUAUAAGUAAAUUCAAGGACCUUUCAUGUAAAAGUGUACAUUUUAACAAUCUAGAAAAUUCCAGGUAAAAGAAGAACGGACCCAACAACUGAACUAUAUAAUUAACACAAAGAACGACGAAAAAUUUUAUUAUUUACUAACCAAACGUACAAAAAAAUUGGUAAUAUUCUAUAAGAACCCAAAUGAGAAAGUAAACGGGUAGACAUACACGAACGGAACGGUAAAUUAUUACAUGGAGAAAUAAAGUAUAAUAAUUAAACUAUCUAACAUUCGGAGAAUCACCAUGAGAACAUGGAACAAUAGAACAGACAAAAGUAGAGUAGUUUCCAUGUUGCUACAACGCAAACAACUUAAAUAUCCGUAGCUCUCCUCAAUCGGCGCUCCGAACUUCGUGUUCACUGUUGUAAACUUCUGUACAUCCCCUUCCUUGUACCUCUUAACGUUCGACACUUCUUCUCUGUCGUUCUCUUCUUACUUCGGACCGUUUUCUUCGUUGUACUCUACCUAUUGGACUAACCAAAAGAGAAUUUCCGAGUUCCUUGAGUCGUUCGUUGAAUCGUCAGGGUAAGGUUUGGACUGCCACGUACUUCCGGUAGGAAAACACUACCUUUCUAUCAACGACUUAGUAUACAACAUUAGUAGUCCUGUUGUGUACACCAGAAAUCAAUAAAUUUAUAACGGAAAAAUUGAACAGAUAACAGCACAGUUUGAGGUCUCACUCACAAGGUAAAAUAACAGUGAAGAUCAAUCUCCUACUAAACCGACUCUGCCAACUAAUAUACUAUACUAAACAGCAAGUAAGUUUAAAUA
rnacentral:rRNA from 1 species